rnacentral:rRNA from 1 species
GACAGAGGGGGCAAGCGUUGCUCGGAAUUACUGGGCGUAAAGGGCGCGUAGGCGGGAUGGCAAGUCGGUCGUGAAAUCCUUCGGCUCAACCGAAGAACGUCGAUCGAUACUGCUGUUCUUGAGGGUUGCAGAGGAGACUGGAAUUCCCGGUGUAGCGGUGAAAUGCGCAGAUAUCGGGAGGAACGACCGGUGGCGAAGGCGGUUCUCUGG